UAACGUCAGUUCUCAAAUCUAAGAUUAAUUCAUCAAAAGACAGAAUAAAUCCAUAUGAUAAUUAUACAUUGUGAAAUAAGGGCAAAGUGUUUAAGAUCGAUGAAUUUGAAUCAUUUGCCCCUCACCAAUAUGGGUUUGAAACCUCGCCUGAGGUAUAGACAUCUUCCUUUUAAGAAAUCAUUUAGCUGGUUCCACUCAAGUGCCCACACAUGCCUGGAACAUUACUUGGAAGGGCACAUUAUGUGAUUCUCCAUUAUUAAAAACUAAAAAACUCGCCGUAUGACCUAAAUUGUGUCGAUGUGACAAUAAAACUUGCAGAUUGUGCAGAUCCUCCAGAAGCAAAUGCAAAUUCAGCCCGAACAUUCAAUGCCACAACAGAAAAGUCAAAAGCAAUAUACAAGUGUAAUACAGGCUACUCUAAAGCUGCCGGGGAUGACGUACUAAUUUGUGGGAUUGGUGGGAAAUGGAUCGGCACCGUACCGAUCUGUGUUGUUGAAUUCAGACCAAAUCAGAACUGGAAUCCCGUAAUUAUUGGCGGUGCUAUCGUUGGCUGGUUGUGUCUUGUAGUAUUUGUUGUGGUUGCUUUUGUCCUUGUAAUUAGAAGAUAUACGUCUUGCAAAGUUUGCAAGCGCACAGACAAUCAAGCAGUAAAUCAUGUGAAGGAGAAUGGGUAAUAAUUGUCUUUCCUUUAUGCAGAAUAUGGCCCAAAUAAGCGCCU